rnacentral:rRNA from 1 species
AUUGAACGCUGGCGGCAGGCCUAACACAUGCAAGUCGAGCGGUAGAGAGAAGCUUGCUUCUCUUGAGAGCGGCGGACGGGUGAGUAAUACCUAGGAAUCUGCCUGAUAGUGGGGGAUAACGUUCGGAAACGGACGCUAAUACCGCAUACGUCCUACGGGAGAAAGCAGGGGACCUUCGGGCCUUGCGCUAUCAGAUGAGCCUAGGUCGGAUUAGCUAGUUGGUGAGGUAAUGGCUCACCAAGGCUACGAUCCGUAACUGGUCUGAGAGGAUGAUCAGUCACACUGGAACUGAGACACGGUCCAGACUCCUACGGGAGGCAGCAGUGGGGAAUAUUGGACAAUGGGCGAAAGCCUGAUCCAGCCAUGCCGCGUGUGUGAAGAAGGUCUUCGGAUUGUAAAGCACUUUAAGUUGGGAGGAAGGGCAUUAACCUAAUACGUUGGUGUCUUGACGUUACCGACAGAAUAAGCACCGGCUAACUCUGUGCCAGCAGCCGCGGUAAUACAGAGGGUGCAAGCGUUAAUCGGAAUUACCGGGCGUAAAGCGCGCGUAGGUGGUUUGUUAAGUUGAAUGUGAAAUCCCCGGGCUCAACCUGGGAACUGCAUCCAAAACUGGCAAGCUAGAGUAUGGUAGAGGGUAGUGGAAUUUCCUGUGUAGCGGUGAAAUGCGUAGAUAUAGGAAGGAACACCAGUGGCGAAGGCGACUACCUGGACUGAUACUGACACUGAGGUGCGAAAGCGUGGGGAGCAAACAGG